rnacentral:rRNA from 1 species
ACACGCAUGACACACUGCAUAUCAAUAAGCGGAGGAAAAGAAACUAACAAGGAUUCCCUUAGUAACGGCGAGUGAAGCGGGAAGAGCUCAAAUUUGAAAUCUUCAAGGUUCUACCUUGACGAAUUGUAGUUUAUAGAAGUGUUUUCUGUUAGUGGAGUGGCAAAAGUUCUUUGGAAUAGGACAUCAUAGAGGGUGAGAAUCCCGUAUUUGGUCAUUCCUCCUAGCGUUGUGAUACACUUUCAACGAGUCGGAUUGUUUGGGAAUGCAGUCCAAAAUGGGUGGUAAAUUUCAUCUAAAGCUAAAUAUUGGCGGAGAGACCGAUAGCGAACAAGUACCGUGAGGGAAUGAUGAAAAGAACUUUGAAAAGAGAGUUAAACAGGUACGUGAAAUUGUCAAAAGGGAAGCGUUUGACACCAGUGUUGUUUUUCCGAAAAUCAAUUACGAAUGUUUUGUUUUUGAGGAGUUAUGACUUCAUCGGCUUGCUCCUUUCUUUAUCGAAACUUUCUUAAUGCACUUUUCGGUUAACAAGUCAACAUCAAUUUCUUUUGUUGUAAAAGGGUAUGAGGAAGGUGGCUUUCUUUUCGGAGAAAGUGUUUAUAGCCUUGUACCUCUGCAAUCGGAGAGAUUGAGGUCUGCAGCGUAGAUCCUUCGGGGUUAGAUACAUUUGUGCUAAGUUAUAGCUUUUCAUAGACAACUUGCUGACUAUGUUUAGUCUUGUAGCUUACUCGCUUACUGCUAUUUUACCUACGCUUAGGAUGUUGACGAGACUGUCGAUCUC